UGCGGGAUAGAGCAGUCUGGUAGCUCGCGAGGCUCAUAAUCUUGAAGUCGCAGGUUCAAAUCCUGCUCCCGCUA
rnacentral:tRNA from 1 species